rnacentral:lncRNA from 1 species
AGAGGCCAGAGAGGCUGGAUGAGGCCAGAGGAGGGUGAGGUGGCUGCAUGGCUUGCUCUAGCAGCCAGGUCCCUCACAAUCAUUUUUUCGAGCACUAGCCAUCCUGGAGAAAGCCCAGGCAGAUGUCAUGGGGAUGUGCCCCAGCAGUUCCCCAACACUCAUAUCCCAUUCAAGAAAUGGACACACACCAAAAUGAAGAAGAAGAAAGUGGAAGAAGGGGAAUGGUCACCUCCUCUACCACCUCAGACUGGGGCCCUCAGCCCAAAUUGAAUGGCCCUCAUCCACGAUGGAUGCCCCUCGACUGUGAUGGAAAUGAGCUUUGCAGUCAACCAACCUGGGGCCAAACCCAAGUGCUGCUGACAGUUCUGCAAGCCUGGACUGACUGGUUGGUUAUUCCACUCUGAGAACCUCAGUCUCAUCUGGAAAAUGGGACAAUAAGGGGCUGAAUUUGAUAGGCUGUGGUGAGACUUCCAUGAGGCUGUGAAGGGUAAGUGCCUAAUGCUACAUUCUCGAGGCCCCAGCAGGCUCAUGGGGACCAGCCUUUGGGCAUUGAACGGCUUUUUGUGGUGGACAGGGCUCAUUCCCUCCUACCUGGGAGAACCUCAAGGACAGGAACCCUUAUACCUCCCAGUGCUUUGGGACUAGCCCAGGCCCGAGUUGGAUGCUCAGCUAGAUGCACAAAUAUGCAAGUGUUUGCUCCGAUCCAGAGUAAAACUCUGCUAAUUUCCUGCAGAUGAAAAGACCUGGAAAGCUGAAAAAGGAAGUUCCUCUCCUGGAGGACGAGUGCUCAGAUGCAGAGCUGAGUAGGAGCAGUCAACUCCAAAAGAGGAGAGGAAGGGAUGUGACCAGAGGGGACAAAGUCUGCAGGAGAGGAUGUGCAGGGUUCCAGGCGUCCUGCAGAGAACAGAUUUCUCUUGGGAUGUGAAGUGUGGCGUCAGACAGAGAAAGGACCGGAUGCCAGGAAGGAUCAACAGAAUUAGCUGGAACUUGGCCUAGAGGUGGGGACAAUCAGGAUAAGCCUCCCAUAAUAGCACCUGGCUUGCACACAGAACAUGCUCCAUAAAUACUUAUUAAAUCAAUGGAUCAAGAAGAAUGAGAUUUUCCUACUAGAUUCUUAACUGAUCUCGCUGCCUCUUUGGACUCUGGCCUCCCGUACAGCCAUCCCCAGAAUGCUAACAUAGGGGUCAAACUCUGACACAGUCAUUCUUGCUUGGGACCCGUGGGCACCUCUCUUCCUACAAGAGGCAGAGGUCACAUGCUAGUGGCCAGAUGGGG